rnacentral:rRNA from 1 species
GAUGAAGGCCCUAGGGUUGUAAAGCUCUUUCAACGGUGAAGAUAAUGACGGUAACCGUAGAAGAAGCCCCGGCUAACUUCGUGCCAGCAGCCGCGGUAAUACGAAGGGGGCUAGCGUUGUUCGGAAUUAUUGGGCGUAAAGAGCUCGUAGGCGGUUUGUCGCGUCGACUGUGAAAACUGGGGGCUUAACUCUCAGCUUGCAGUCGAUACGGGCAGACUUGAGUUCGGUAGGGGAGACUGGAAUUCCUGGUGUAGCGGUGAAAUGCGCAGAUAUCAGGAGGAACACCGGUGGCGAAGGCGGGUCUCUGGGCCGAUACUGACGCUGAGGAGCGAAAGCGUGGGGAGCGAACAGGAUUAGAUACCCUGGUAGUCCACGCUGUAAACGUUGGGCGCUAGGUGUGGGGGACAUUCACGUCUUCCGUGCCGUAGCUAACGCAUUAAGCGCCCCGCCUGGGGAGUACGGCCGCAAGGCUA